rfam:Brachypodium distachyon strain Bd21 chromosome 5, whole genome shotgun sequence.
AUCAUACUCCCUCCGAUCCUAAAUUGUUGUCGAAAUAUUACAUGUAUCUAGACGCUUUUUAAGAAUAGAUACAUUCAUAUUUGGACAAAUUUGGGUCAAGAAUUUAGGAUCGGAGGGAGUACAAC